AUAUUUACUUGGCAGGAGAUAGAAUGGCCAAGAAGAUGGCUUUUGGGGGGUGAGGUUCAUCCAUUGCAGCUGCAAUGUGCUGACCUCAGCAAUUUCCCAAAAUUUGGGGAAACUUGACUGUAUAAAUUGUGGUAGCGGGAGACUGU
rnacentral:snRNA from 1 species